ACGUAUAACUUCUAUGUUUUUUGGGUCACACAUAAAGCUUUCCCUAUCCAUUUUCACUUGGUUUGUUGAAUUAAUAGAAUAAAUCCUUUGUGUUAUUAUAAUAAACUUCAUACACGGGCAAUUAAAUCUUCCUUUGUUGGAAACUGACUUCCAUGUUACUAUGGUUUUCUUAGUUUUCUUAUCAUUGUUGUCUCAUUAUGCAUUUUCCUUUGAUUGCAAGAGGAACUUGUCGAUAUCAGUAAGCAUUGGGAUGACUUGGAGGAAGAAGAGGAGGAACAUAUGGAAGAAGAGGAAUUGGAGGCCACUAUCCAAUCAGAUGCCGGGCUCUCUCUCUCUCUCUCUCACUGCUGUAUUAAUAAAUUGAGUUUUUUAAGUUCCCCACAGUACACCAACUGGUGUGAAGGCACCUGACGUCAUUGAUCUUCGAAAGCAAUAAAGGAAAGAGCCAGGGAAGCCUCUUUACCAAGUACUCGAGGAGAAGGAAGAAAGGAUUGCACCAGAAACCUUACUCAGAACAACGCACAUGAAUGUGCUUGGGGCAAUGGAUUAAACUGGUCCUAAAAGGGUUGAGCUACUAUUAGGACAAAGUGAAUUAAAGGCUUUGGAUGAUGUUACUUUCGCAGCAAAGUAAGCAAGGGAAGAAGAGAAGUCAUGAAAUCAACGCGAAGAACUUCAGUGACCUGGUGGCAGAGGCUAAGAAAAAGAGGAAGCGCAAGAUGUAGGAAAAAGGAAGGGAAGGCAAAGAAGGAUUUCAAGUUUUAAACACAAAGCUAUACAUCAAAUUCGCAUAGCAUGAAUGCUCCCCCUCGCUCAUUGGAUAUAUUCUGUUUGGUGAAUAUAUUGUGAACUAUGAAAUUCAAAGGAUCUGACACAUUGAAAGUUCUUAUUGACAUGUAAAAUGUGAAGUUCUUUGGUCAAUCUUGGGCCAUCUUGGUUCGAUUAAUGAAUGGACAGGGCAGGUAGUUGUACUACUGAGGUAGGAGUGAUGUUUAAAAGGAAUUUGAUUAGUGAAUCCAUUUUGAGAUCAUCGAUGAAUCUUAACUGCGCCUGAACUUGGUGGAAAGUUAGAAGUGGUUUUAUUUUCUUUAGGGAAGCCAGGACCUAUAUAAAGCAUGAAUUUCUCAA